UCAUCUCCUGCGUCCUGCUGCUGCUGCUGGUGAUGGCCAGUGGGAGACUGACAGCUCCUCAACCAAUAUGUGGAGGAAUAGCGUGUCCUCUCAGGCGCGGACUGGGUCGCAUCACUUUGUGCAGGUGCAUUGCGUUUCUUCUAUCACCUGCUGACUGAACCUGCAGGAGGCGGAGCUAACUGUUUCAGGGGCGGAGACUCAGAGUGACAGAGUGACGCUGGGGAAGAUCCUAACUGAGAGGCUGAGAGUGGAGCGUGCUCACUCCCUACAGCUGCCCCACAAAAGUGCCUGUACUGAGCUUGUGCCUAAUGAAGGAUGGUCCAUCCCGGCUUCCAGAAGGGCAGGUGCAGCUGGCAGCACCGGGGAUUGGGGAGAGCCAAGUGCAGCAGCUAAUCUUCGGCAGCGGCCACGGAGGUGGCGCCAGGAAGUCCAGAGUACCAUGCAGCGGCGGCCGGCGCUCUCCUCCUCUCAGGCAGCAGACGCAGCAGCACCGGAAAUGCUGCACUCUCCUGCCUGCGGCUCUAAGCAGGACCCAGCUUUCUUUAAUGCUUCAAUCUUCACAGAGAAGAAAGGAAGAAUUUCACCCUGAUACCUUGCCUGAGGGAUUUCUAACACAACAAAUUUUAUUAACUUUUGUCCCUAUCUUAAGGAGUCAAUGAGUAGAAUAACUCACUAUCACAAGAUAUUCAAAUGAAAUUACAAUACUGAA